rnacentral:rRNA from 1 species
GAUUGGCCCGCGUUGGAUUAGCUAGUUGGUGGGGUAAAGGCCUACCAAGGCGACGAUCCAUAGCUGGUCUGAGAGGAUGAUCAGCCACAUUGGGACUGAGACACGGCCCAAACUCCUACGGGAGGCAGCAGUGGGGAAUAUUGGACAAUGGGCGCAAGCCUGAUCCAGCCAUGCCGCGUGAGUGAUGAAGGCCUUAGGGUUGUAAAGCUCUUUCACCGAUGAAGAUAAUGACGGUAGUCGGAGAAGAAGCCCCGGCUAACUUCGUGCCAGCAGCCGCGGUAAUACGAAGGGGGCUAGCGUUGCUCGGAAUUACUGGGCGUAAAGGGCGCGUAGGCGGACAUUUAAGUCAGGGGUGAAAUCCCAGAGCUCAACUCUGGAACUGCCUUUGAUACUGGGUGUCUUGAGUGUGAGAGAGGUAUGUGGAACUCCGAGUGUAGAGGUGAAAUUCGUAGAUAUUCGGAAGAACACCAGUGGCGAAGGCGACAUACUGGCUCAUUACUGACGCUGAGGCGCGAAAGCGUGGGGAGCAAACAGGAUUAGAUACCCUGGUAGUCCACGCC